AUGUUGGGGGGAGGAGGAUCCCAGGCCGAGGUGGGCGCAGCCCGGGCGCCUCCCGAGACCCCCGCGGCCCGCGGGGCGCCUCUGGGGCCCCCGUGCCAAGCCUCGGAGGCCUGGGGAAGCACGCCCGCCGCUCCGGCGGCCACACGCGGACGCACAGCCAGGCUGGGGCGCCGUGCACCGCGCGCAGAGGCGGCGCCGGGCCGCGGUGCUCCCGGGUCUGGCCGCCAUAUUCCGCCCCCACCCCCCUCUGUUUACCCGGCGGGAUCCGUGGCCAAAAACUGCGUUGACGCAGUGUGUGUAUGUGUGUGUUUUGUACUGACUGGGCGGAAAAGCGGCGGCGGCGGCGGCGGGGGGGCUCCUCGCAACCCAAACCCCUGUUCCCGCAGAGCCCGCCCUGGCCCGCGCUGCCGUCCACGGCCGCCCCGGGCCGCCGGAGCCGAGGCCCUUUGUGUGCUCCCUGCACGCGGCCCGACUGACGAAAUUACUCCGCUUUGUCUUAAAACCCAAGACCGGCCAGCGUUGAGCCGGGUGCGCCUUUGUGGCGGCGGCGGGGCCCGGCACCCGCAGCCUGCUCUGCCCUCGUCCGGGCCGACCCCCGCGCUUUCCGGGCCCCUGGUGGUGCUGCCCCCGCGGAUACAGGCCCCGUCCCCCGGAGAAAGCUGGCAUCCUUCAGGGGGCGAGGGCACCCGGGCCGCCUCCACCCCUCGCGCCCCAAGCCGCCUUUCCCGGCGGGCCCCCGAGCUCCCCGCGCUGUGCCAGCUUCUCGGGGAUGGGGCCCCAGCGGCCUCCGGCCCCCUCUGCUGCCCGCUCGGGAAGCCCCGCCGGAUCUGGGGCUUAGCAGAGCCAGUUUUCCAGGUCCCGGGUCUGGCAACCAGGGAGCUCCGGCCCGGGCACCGCGAAAACCCGGAGAGGCUGCGCCCGGGACAUCCGUCCUCGCCAUCCCGUCGCUGCCCCUGGCUCAGCCUCCUUUCGCGCCGAGCGGAGGUUCGGCCGGCCCAGCCAAGAGGGAUCCCAACCCUGCAGAAAGACCAGAGACGCGGCACCGAGGCCCAGACGCCGCCGGGACGAGCGCUCGAGCCGGUGGGCAGAGCCAGGGCUGAAGCGCCAGGCGCGGCCCCAGCGGAUCGCAGCGUGUCUCGGCUCCGCCUCCGGCCCUGGCCCCUUUCCCCGGCCCCGGGUCGGGUCUUCCAUUCCACUGUUUGGCUCGGAGAGGUCGGAGACGUGCUCGGUGCACAGGGGGCCGGAUUCGACCAUAAAUCUCCAUGCGGGACCUCCUUCCCGCUGCUCACCCGCGCGUGCUCCUGGCCGCCUCGCUUCCCGGGCUACGCCGGGGCCCUGCUCUCAGGGUCCGGGCCUGGCGACCCCGAGGCCGGUGCAGGGCUUCCCCAUUCACCAAAGGGAGGACCGGACCGGCCCAUUCAGUGCCACCACCUUCCAAACCCACCGGCGCUGGACCGCAGGUGGCCUGGGCCUCAGCGGAUUGCAGCCAGGGGUGGGGGCACCCAGGCGGGAAACUUCCUCCCAGGAAGGGUCGGUGAGGCUGGAAUGGGUACACGGCCACCUGCUUUAGCCCAGCUCCCGUGCCCUUAA
rnacentral:lncRNA from 1 species